AUGAACGCUAGCGACAGGCUUAACACAUGCAAGUCGAGGGGCAUCACGGGUAGCAAUAUCUGGUGGCGACCGGCGAACGGGUGAGUAACGCGUAUGCAACCUGCCUUCAGCAGGGGGAUAGCCCGUUGAAAGACGGAUUAAUACCCCGUAACACAGGGGCUCCGCAUGGAGAUUAUUGUUAAAGGGAUGCUUCCUUCGGGGAGUAUUCCGGCUGAAGAUGGGCAUGCGUUCCAUUAGGUAGUUGGUUGAGGUAACGGCUCACCAAGCCUGCGAUGGAUAGGGGAACUGAGAGGUUGGUCCCCCACACUGGUACUGAGACACGGACCAGACUCCUACGGGAGGCAGCAGUGAGGAAUCUUGGUCAAUGGACGGAAGUCUGAACCAGCCAUGUCGCGUGAAGGAGGACGGCCCUAAGGGUUGUAAACUUCUUUUGCAGGGGAAUAAAGUAUUCCACGAGAUGGGAUAUUGCAAGUACGCUGCGAAUAAGGAUCGGCUAACUCCGUG
rnacentral:rRNA from 1 species